GAGGACACAGUAAUUCAAAAUAUUUGGAAGGAUUUUAAUAAGUCAUUUGUUAUUAUGAAGAAGAAAAGAUAAUUAAAGAAACUUAACGAAAUAAAUUAAACUAAGAAAUAGUUCUGGUGAUAUAUCUCUAAUCUUUAAUUAAAAUAAUUCAGGAAAAAUACUACAUCCACAUCUUCUUUCUCCAUAACCACAAACCGAAUGACUUUUUUGUUUUUUGGCCCUUUGAAGUGAUCUCCAUUGAGAGGCAAGCUAAUUUCACAGAAUUAAUUAGAAUGAAUUAAAUCCUAAUAAAACCUCUAAAGAACAAAUCAAACCAGCUGGUAAUUAUUGAGACCGAUGAGGUUCUAUCAGGUCAUCUUGCAGCUUCAAUCACUCAAAUACCGACAGAUCCAUUUCUCAACUUUCUGAGUUCUCUGGGAUUGUUCUCAAGCCCUGAAUCCAUUAAUUAUUUCAGGGCCGUCUUCCUUCCCCCCCCCUCCUUUUACCAGUACAAUUGAUCUGAAACAGACUAAUCAAUUAACACAAUUAAAGACCAGGAGCUUAUCAUCUACGUACGUACCUUGCCUGCAUUAAUGGGACAUGUACUGCCUCAAGCCAACAUGGUGCCAUCUCUGCAAGCUUCUGAUGAAGAUAAGGGAUGAGGAGAAGACAAGAAUACAUAAGCAAAGAGACAAAAGGUAUUGUAAACGUUAGAAAAUUUAUUAAUGUGCCAAGGCCUUCGGUUGAUUAGUUACAAUGAAAGAAAUGUAAGAUAACCGACGCCUCGCAAAAGAUUACGGAUUACUUACAUCUUUUCUUUAUCAAAACUAGAAAUUUGAUUAAAUUUGGUUAAAUUUUAAAUUCCAAUAAAUUGUAUUAUCUAAGGUAUCUCAA